rnacentral:rRNA from 1 species
UGCAAGUCGAGUGCGCGGUUGUAGCAAUACAACUGGCGCACGGCGCACGGGUGCGUAACACGUGGGCAAUCUGCCCUCCGAUGGGGAAUAACCCCGCGAAAGCGGGGCUAAUACCGCAUAACAUUCCAGGAACUCUGGUUUCUGGAUUCAAAGCCGUAAGGCGUCGGUGGAGGAGCCCGCGCACGAUUAGCUAGUUGGUAGGGUAACGGCCUACCAAGGCUGUGAUCGUUAGCUGGUCUGAGAGGAUGGCCAGCCACACUGGAACUGAGACACGGUCCAGACUCCUACGGGAGGCAGCAGUGGGGAAUCUUGCGCAAUGGGCGAAAGCCUGACGCAGCGACGCCGCGUGGGGGAUGAAGCUUCUCGGAGUGUAAACCCCUUUCGACUGGGACGAAUACCUCGCAAGAGGGGUGACGGUACCAGUAGAAGAAGCCCCGGCUAACUACGUGCCAGCAGCCGCGGUAAGACGUAGGGGGCCAGCGUUGUUCGGAAUUACUGGGUGUAAAGGGUUCGUAGGCGGUGUGGCAAGUCGGGAGUGAAAUUUCUGGGCUUAACUCAGAGACUGCUUCCGAAACUGCUGUGCUUGAGUGUGGGAGAGGCGCGUGGAAUUGCAGGUGUAGCGGUGAAAUGCGUAGAUAUCUGCAGGAACACCCGUGGCGAAAGCGGCGCGCUGGACCACCACUGACGCUGAGGAACGAAAGCUAGGGGAGCAAACAGGAUUAGAUACCCUGUAGUCCUAGCCCUAAACGAUCAGGACUUGGGGUGCCACCCGUCCGGGUGUCGUCCCGGAGCUAACGCGUUAAGUCCUGCACCUGGGGAGUACGGUCGCAAGACUGAAACUCAAAGGAAUUGACGGGGGCCCGCACAAGCGGUGGAACAUGUGG